rnacentral:rRNA from 1 species
GACGAACGCUGGCGGCGUGCUUAACACAUGCAAGUCGAACGGAAAGGCCCUGCUUUUGUGGGGUGCUCGAGUGGCGAACGGGUGAGUAACACGUGAGUAACCUGCCCUUGACUUUGGGAUAACUUCAGGAAACUGGGGCUAAUACCGGAUAGGAGCUCCUGCUGCAUGGUGGGGGUUGGAAAGUUUCGGCGGUUGGGGAUGGACUCGCGGCUUAUCAGCUUGUUGGUGGGGUAGUGGCUUACCAAGGCUUUGACGGGUAGCCGGCCUGAGAGGGUGACCGGCCACAUUGGGACUGAGAUACGGCCCAGACUCCUACGGGAGGCAACAGUGGGGAAUAUUGCACAAUGGGCGGAAGCCUGAUGCAGCAACGCCGCGUGCGGGAUGACGGCCUUCGGGUUGUAAACCGCUUUCGCCUGUGACGAAGCGUGAGUGACGGUAAUGGGUAAAGAAGCACCGGCUAACUACGUG